rnacentral:snRNA from 1 species
GGAUGUGAGGGUGAUCUGGCUUCACCAUCUGUCACCCACUGGUCACAAGGGUUGAUUCUGCAGACCUGGCUGUCUAGGCGGAUGUCUCCUUCCUCCCUCACAGCUCCAUGUGCGUCCCUCCCAAAGCUGCAUGCUCAGUCAAAGAGGAUGACCACCCCAAUAGAGGAAGACCUUUUUCCCAGUCAUGGGUAUACGAGUAGCUGCGCUUCCCUGCUAGAACCUCCAACAAGCUUUCAAAGACACCUCAAAUAGUGUACAUAUCUCAGGUGCUAAAAUCAGUAGAAAAAGGCUUAAUGAGAAAUAGGAAAUUACAUAA